rnacentral:rRNA from 1 species
UUUCCGGUUGAUCCUGCCGGAGAUCACCGCUAUUGGGGUUCGAUUAAGCCAUGCGAGUCUUUGGCAGCAAUGCCAAGGCGAACUGCUGAGUAACACGUAGUCAACCUGCCCUUAAGUCAGGGAUAAUCUCGGGAAACUGAGCAUAAUACCUGAUACGUGAUAGCGCCUGGAACGGUUUAUCACUUAAAGCUUCGGCGCUUAAGGAUGGGACUGCGGUAGAUUAGGUUGAUGUUAGGGUAACUGCCUAACAUGCCUAUAAUCUAUAGGGGCUGUGAGAGCAGUAGCCCCCAGAUGGGUUCUGAGACACGAACCCAGGUCCUAAGGGACGCAGCAGGCGCGAAACCUCCGCAAUGCACGCAAGUGUGACGGGGGGACCUCAGGUGCUAGCACCACGAGUGUUAGCUUUUCGUGAGUUUAAAUUGCUCGCGGAAUAAGUGGUGGGUAAGACCGUUGCCAGCCGCCGCGGUAAUAACGGCACCACGAGUGGUGAUCACGCGUAUUGGGUCUAAAGCAUCCGUAGCCGGAUAGUCAAGUCAUUUGUGAAACUUCAUAGAAAACUGUGAAAAGUGCAAGUGAAACUAGCUAUCUUGGAACCGGGAAGGGUUAGAGGUACUUCUAGGGUAGAGGUGGAAUUCUGUAAUCCUAGAGGGACCACCUGUGGCGAAGGCGUCUAACUGGAACGGAUUCGACGGUGAGGGAUGAAAGCCAGGGGAGCAAAGGGGAUUAGAUAUGAGAAAACAUGCAAUCUGUCUCGUUUUCUCACUAAAUACCCCCGUAGUCCUGGCUGUAAACGAUGCCCGCUAGGUAUUGCCUGUUUUUCGUGAACAGGCAGUGCCGUAGGGAAGCCUUUAACGGGCCACCUGGGAAGUACGGUCGCAAGGCUGAAACUAAAGGAAUGGCGGGGGAGCAACAACAAAGGGACCGC